UACGGAAGGCAGCAGUGGGGAAUAUUGCACAAUGGGCGCAAGCCUGAUGCAGCCAUGCCGCGUGUAUGAAGAAGGCCUUCGGGUUGUAAAGUACUUUCAGUCGUGAGGAAGGUGUUAAGGUUAAUAACCUUAGCAAUUGACGUUAGCGACAGAAGAAGCACCGGCUAACUCCGUGCCAGCAGCCGCGGUAAUACGGAGGGUGCGAGCGUUAAUCGGAAUUACUGGGCGUAAAGAGCACGCAGGCGGUUAAUUAAGUUGGAUGUGAAAAUCCCCGGGCUUAACCUGGGAAUGGCAUUCAAGACUGGUUAGCUAGAGUCUUGUAGAGGGGGUAGAAUUCCAUGUGUAGCGGUGAAAUGCGUAGAGAUGUGGAGGAAUACCGGUGGCGAAGGCGGCCCCUGGGACAAAGACUGACGCUCAUGUGCGAAAGCGUGGGGAGCAAACAGGAUUAGGAUACC
rnacentral:rRNA from 1 species